rnacentral:lncRNA from 1 species
AAGGCGUCGUCUCGCCUCCUCGCCCCGCGCGGCUAAAGCCGGACCGUGCGGGGCCAGGGGUAGAGAACGGCCCCUCGCCGGGACUUGAACGCCAGACCCACGGAGCCCACGGCAAGUCCGCUCCGCUCGGAAAAUAUAGACCUUUUCAUCCCGCACUCAUGACCCUCUCCUUUCCCCCAAAAUAUAAACAACUCGAGGGCGGAGGCCAGGGAACUGCCGCCCGGCUUUACGUAACUUGACCCACAGGCGGGCGGCGGCAGGUGGCUGCACCCGGCGAGCAAGGUGCUCGAAGCCCCGAGAACGCAGGACGCCGCUCGGGCAGCGAGACGGCCGGGAAGCACGAGAGGCCGGGGAGCGGCGGCGGCGGCCUCCUUACCUUUCCAGAUGCCCAGAGAGAGCUGGGACGUGUCCAAGUCCACCACAUAGUCCCCCAAGAACCGGUUCAACACGUCCACGACCACCGACUCGAAAACCAUGUUCCUCAGCCGUGGUGGGCACGGCAGCCGGCCCGUGCGCUCCUCCUCCCGCCGCCUUCCCCACGCCCCUCCCUCGAGAGUAACACGCUUCCCUGCAGAUAAGAGUUGGAGUCAGCCGGUCUGGAAACUGCUGAACACCCUCCAAGAAAUACUGGGAGUGCUGGACCCUUGACCCCUAUGCCUCCACCGAACCACUGACCUAAAAUAAAUUACAAUUACAGAUCU